CAACUAUUUAUUUAACAAGGGCUGCUGGUUUGUUAUCGAAUUACAUUUGGAUAUUGCAGGCUGUGAAGAAGGGUUGAUUUUCAGCCAAGACAGAUCUUACCCUCAAAUAUAUUGAGUAGAAAAACCAUGAAUUAUGCUUACGCAAAACAGGAUUGAAAACUGAGAUUGCAUAUGAAAAAGGGGCUUCGUUUCGUGAUCAACUCAUCAAAAUUCAGCGUCCAUCGAGUUCGAGUGGGUUAAGCUUCUCGUCUGCAGCUCGUCAAUGAGAAAGGUCAAACGAUGAAAAAAAAACAGAGGCUUGACAGGUGCUUGAGGAUAACAAAAGAAGCACUAGCUAUUGGACACGUGCAUCUAUUCAACACCAGAUAUCAA
rnacentral:misc_RNA from 1 species